rnacentral:rRNA from 1 species
MUACGUGCCAGCAGCCGCGGUAAUACGGAGGGUGCGAGCGUUAAUCGGAAUAACUGGGCGUAAAGGGCACGCAGGCGGUGACUUAAGUGAGGUGUGAAAGCCCCGGGCUUAACCUGGGAAUUGCAUUUCAUACUGGGUCGCUAGAGUACUUUAGGGAGGGGUAGAAUUCCACGUGUAGCGGUGAAAUGCGUAGAGAUGUGGAGGAAUACCGAAGGCGAAGGCAGCCCCUUGGGAAUGUACUGACGCUCAUGUGCGAAAGCGUGGGGAGCAAACAGGAUUAGAUACCCUGGUAGUCCACGCUGUAAACGCUGUCGAUUUGGGGAUUGGGCCUUGAGCUUGGUGCCCGAAGCUAACGUGAUAAAUCGACCGCCUGGGGAGUACGGCCGCAAGGUUAAAACUCAAAUGAAUUGACGGGGGCCCGCACAAGCGGUGGAGCAUGUGGUUUAAUUCGAUGCAACGCGAAGAACCUUACCUACUCUUGACAUCCAUGGAAUCUUGUAGAGAUAUGAGAGUGCCUUCGGGAAC